rnacentral:rRNA from 1 species
AACAGGAUUAGAUACCCUGGUAGUCCACGCCGUAAACGAUGUCGACUUGGAGGUUGUGCCCUUGAGGCGUGGCUUCCGGAGCUAACGCGUUAAGUCGACCGCCUGGGGAGUACGGCCGCAAGGUUAAAACUCAAAUGAAUUGACGGGGGCCCGCACAAGCGGUGGAGCAUGUGGUUUAAUUCGAUGCAACGCGAAGAACCUUACCUACUCUUGACAUCCAGAGAACUUAGCAGAGAUGCUUUGGUGCCUUCGGGAACUCUGAGACAGGUGCUGCAUGGCUGUCGUCAGCUCGUGUUGUGAAAUGUUGGGUUAAGUCCCGCAACGAGCGCAACCCUUAUCCUUUGUUGGCAGCGGUUAGGCCGGGAACUCAAAGGAGACUGCCAGUGAUAAACUGGAGGAAGGUGGGGAUGACGUCAAGUCAUCAUGGCCCUUACGAGUAGGGCUACACACGUGCUACAAUGGCGCAUACAAAGAGAGGCGACCUCGCGAGAGCAAGCGGACCUCAUAAAGUGCGUCGUAGUCCGGAUUGGAGUCUGCAACCCGACUCCAUGAAGUCGGAAUCGCUAGUAAUCGUGGAUCAGAAUGCCACGGUGAAUACGUUCCCGGGCCUUGUACACACCGCCCGUCACACCAUGGGAGUGGGUUGCAAAAGAAGUAGGUAGCUUAACCUUCGGGAGGGCGCUUACCACUUUGUGAUUCAUGACUGGGGUGAAGUCGUAACAAGGUAACC